AUGGACAUGGGCGACCACCAGGAGGGGGGUUCCGACAGCCAGCAGCAGCUGCAGGAGCGCCGGAAGCGCCAACGCCGGCACACGCCGGAGCAGAUUCGAAAGCUGGAGGAGUCGUUCCAGAAGUGCGGCUACCCCGACGAGGCCCAGAGCGCUCAGCUUGGACGCGAGCUUGGCCUGGAGAACAAGCAGAUCAGGUCCUGGUUCCAGAACCACCGUACACAGAUGAAGGUUGAGUACGAGCGGGCGGAGAACCUCUUCCUCCGCGAGGAGAACACAAGGCUCCUGUCCGAGAACAUGGUCAUGCGGGAGGUGCUCAAGAACUUCAUCUGCCUCAAUCCCAACUGCAUCGCCAAGCACUACAUCGACCAGCAGGAGGAGCUCGAUAAGGAGAACGCUCGCCUCAAGGCGGGGUCCCUCCUCUGCGCCACAUCUUUCCAAGAUGAGCUCUAG
rnacentral:rRNA from 1 species